rnacentral:rRNA from 1 species
UACGUAGGUCCCGAACGUUGCGCGAAUUUACUGGGCGUAAAGGGUCCGUAGGCGGUUUAGCAAGUGGUUGGUGAAAUUUCACGGCUCAACCGUGAAACUGCCUUCCAAACUGCUAAACUUGAGGCAGGGAGAGGGCGGCGGAAGUCCCGGUGUAGCGGUGAAAUGCGUAGAUAUCGGGAGGAACACCAGUGGCGAAGGCGGGCGACUGGCACUGUCCUGACGCUGAGGGACGAAAGCUAGGGGAGCAAACCGG